UUUAUGCUAGGUUAAGUAUAGUUUCGACGGCGAGAACUUGUUGAUUCGGUACCGGUGAAUGCAGUAUACUGUAGUCUCGUCAUAAAAGCCGGAGCGGUGGACACUGACCACAUCAUCCAGGACAAGGACAAUGGCUGUCAGUCGUGCAGAGUGUCCGGGACUGUUACUUUGUUACUAGUUGCUGCUUAUUUUUACUUCGGCUGCAAGCACGUGAAACCCGUAUAUUACUUCGGAACCACGGGUAUGAUAUCUUUAGCUGCGUCGAGAGCAUUAGAUUGACACCUUUCAAUGGUUAACAUUUCAAAAUCAGUCUUGUGGUCAGAAUUUAUAUAAUGGUAAAAAAGUUUCACUAUCAAGGUAAAUGAUAUAAUUUAUUAAUGUCUUAUAACAAUUAUUCUAGUCAGAUUGUUAUACCUAACAAUUGUAGUUUGAUUAUAUUUUUGCAAUGUGAUAGAUAUUGCUAGGAUCUAUACAACUGGUUUCAGGCGCGGACUGGUAAAAAAGGGCGCUCGAUGCUACAUAAUUUAAAGGGCAAAUAGAACAAAUUUUGGGGGUAAAUUUUAAAUGUGUAGGUUAUUUAUAAAACAUUUAAAUAUUUUCUUUUGAUUUAAUAAAAUAUUGUAAUUACGUUAAAAGUGUAAAUAGGUGCCAAAUUACAACAAACAUUAAAAAAAUUACAAAUUUACAAACUUCUACAGUUGUAUGGUAAGAAAAAUAAAAAUAAAUUGAUGGUCCGUUAUUACACAUAACACAUUCAAAUAUUUUAUUUAAUUACUUUUAAAAUAUCAUAAAUCUGAUUUUAGGGAUUGCGACAUAGGUAGGUAGUAGAUAUAUGAUUAAACAAAGAUAUACUUGCUACUUAAGUACAAUACUCAUAUAUCUCAGCUAUACAUAUAAUUCCCUAGUAACAUAUAUUCCUGAAAAAAAUAAAAUUGUACUAGUUUUGUCGACAAUGCAUAAUAGUAAAACCAUAGAUGAAAGUACAGACUUAGCAAAAUAAAAACCAGAAAUUAUUACAUUUAAUAAUGCCACAAAAGGAGCUGUUGAUAAAUGGACAGGAUUACAGAAAACUAUAGAUACAGUUGCAAGACGGAGUAAUAGACGGCCACUUACAGUAUUUUAUUCAAUGUUGCUGUAAAUAUUCAAGUUAUACAUAACGAAAACAGUCAAACUAAAUAUACUCGUCUUCAAUUUUUAAAAAUAUUAGAAAUACCACUAAUGGAUGAACAGUUACAAUAUCGUGCAACAUUACUUUCACUUCCACAAAAUAUUAAAACGCGACUAAAUAUUUAUGGGUACUAACCGACAUUACAAGUAGGUGAGCAGCAGGUAAGAGCGUCAAGAAAAUGUCAAUUUUGUGACCGUCUACGUGAUGGAAAAACAACAAAAGUAUGCACUAAUUGUGCAAAAAUUAUAGGUAUGCAGAGACCACUUAGUUACAGUACACUGAAUUGAUUUUAAUCAUUUUUAAUGGCUAACGGAGUACAGGAGAUCAGCUAGUUUGCACAAGUCCAGCGAUAAAAAAAAAAAAAAAAAAA